AAACUAGUAAUAAUAAUAAUAAUAAUAGCUAAACUAAAAUUAAUUAAACUGAAAUUAACCGAAAAAAGUCUUAUGUAUAUCCUUGCUAAUGCUACUAUUGCAACAAAAAAAAAAAAAAAAAAAAACAAACUUAAAAAGUUAGAAAAAGAAGAGAGAACACUUGGAGGGAAGAACAUUUUGCCUUCCCGCCAUAGUUAGAACAUUGGGUCACUCUCCUCUCUGCUCAACCCUUCCUCCCAAAAUCCUCAUCUUUCUCUCUCCUAUUUUUCGUCAAUUGUUUGAAAAUUGUGGAUGAAUGCGAUUUCAAUGGCGAAAUCAGAGGACGAAUCGAAAUCAGACGGCCUAGAGAUUCUGUCCAUUGGAGCUCUCUUUUCCGGAACUAAUUGGGACAAGAAGUACUGGAGCUCCUCUAGGGGAAAAGACCGAUAUCCUUAUCCAGUUGGUUACAAGGCCCUCCGAACCCACAAAGGGCUCAUGUAUAAGAUGGAAAUCCAUGAGGGUUCAAAAGGUCCCAUAUUUCAAAUUACCUCCAAUGACAAACACUUUGGUUCUGGAGAAACACCUGACAGAGCAUGGGAGAGCUUUCAAAAGAAAUAUUCUCGUAUCAAGCUUUGGCACGGGAAGAGAUUUUCGGGUAAAAUUGACGGUGUGGAGCUUUUCGGAUUUAAAAAUGCAUUGGUCCAAAGAUUACUCCGGGAGUUGGUGGCCACUGUAAAUGAUGCCUCUGAUCAAAGUUCUGUUGUUACCAACUGCAAUGAAGCUUCUUCAAAAGGUCAUGAUGUUGGAUACCUUUUGAGAGAUGAGCUCCCUGAUUUGAGGGUAGCUCUUAAGAAAGCUAUUGUAACAGGAAAGAGAAGCAGAACCUGCAGAAGAAAUGAUAUAAAGUCAGCUCGUGAGAGUGGCCAUGAAAGAUGUCCACCUCCACAUCAAGGUGAUGAUGCCAAAGUUUUAGAUCCUGCAGCUGGGAAGACCAAUAGUGAUGAACCCCUGAUAUACUCUGCUUUGAGUAAUGGCCAAGCUCAAGGAGCUUUGCAAGUUUUACCAAAUAUAGAGCCUGGAGAAAAUGUUCCGACAGUUCCGUUAUCAGCUCAUGGGUUGCCCGUGAAGUCUCAUGAAUUCCCUGUUGAUCCAAAAUCAGAUCCUUGUUGUAUACAAGUGCAGAGUGAGCUUCCUAGUAUGGAAACAUGCGUGUCAGCGUCCUUGCUUGCUGUAGACAUGCCUCAAGAAGAAAAACCUGAGGAAGCUCUUCAUAUAUCUCAGCUUGACAUACAGCGUCUUGAAGUCCAAGGAAUUGGUCUACCGGUGGCAAUCAAAGAAGGAAAUCAGAAGGUUCAAGUUUUACCUAUCUUGUUAGAGCCAAAGCCUCCACUUCUAAGGGAUUCUGAGGUCAAUCAUCAUGGUGAUCUUUAUGCCCCUGAUACCUUAGAUACUCAGGAAGCUGGCCUCUAUGCAGAAAUUACCUGUGCUCCAAAUAUUGGCAGCCACGGGGGAGAACAGGCCACAGCAAGGAAUAAACUAGUUGCUGAUUUGGUCUAUUCUGAGGAUACAAUAACGGGAUCUCAUUCAGAGGAAGGAAGUUUUUACUUGAAUGGCAAUUCAGAAAAGAGCGAUUUUGAUUCUUUUGAUGAGGAUAUAACUAAGUCAAUGAUGAAAGUUCUUCUUCCACGAGCAAUUCCUCUCCUUAAAUAUUCAUCACGAAAAAGGAGGAGAAGAAACGAACUCCAUAAAGAUUUUUCUGGUGCACCAAAACCAGAACAUAAUCUAAUUGAAGCCAUCCCAUCUGCUGAUGUCGAACCUCCUGCUAGAGUACUUGCUUGUUCUGGCUCAGAUGGACAAAUAAAGUCACAUCUUGCAAGUGAUUUUGUUGAUUCGAGCGCAUCAAAGAUGGAAAAUGUCAGAUACGUCGUUCCAGACAGUUUGGAUAAUGACCAAUAUGAAGAUCAUGUAGUCAAUGAACUGCCACCAUCUUCUGAUAAUACUGAAGCAGUUCCAGCCACUUUGCAGAAAGAGAAUCAUGAACCUCCUGACAGAAAAGGGUCUCCUUCUGUGCUUGAUGCAACUGAGUCGUCCUCCUAUCUAAAUGAGACCACUGGAGUCAAAAAAAUCUUCCCUCGUGAAGAACUGGACAAAAUUUUCGACGGGAUGCCUCAGAAUGUUUGUGUUUCUGCUCUGCAUUCUGCUUUACCCUUCCCAUCAUCUGUUCCACUAGGCCUUCUUGCCAAAUCAGAAGAUCAGUGCUUAAUUGCCGAUGGCAAUUCUAAACCCAUUGAGAAUUCCUCCAAGAACACAGAUCAAGACAUUAUGCCUGAGUGCAAAGGGCAUGGGUUUAUUCCAAUACCUGGAAAAAAACAAUCUUCUCCUCCAAAUACACUGUCAAAGAUGGACAAAUACGGUGCUCCUCUGUCAGAGAGCAUAACUUGCAGGGAAUAUGGGGAGGAUUGUGUUCCUGAAAUGCAUCACAGGUCUAGAAAUUUGGUAUCACCUAAUUCUUUCCUAGUUAGUGCAUUUGGUGAUAGCGACAGCAGCAAAGCUUCAUUCACCGCAGGAAGGCCUGAAGGUCAAAUUUCUAUUAUGCAGAAUGAUAAUGUGGAAGACCUCGCAUUGAAUUUUACCUUGAAUAACAAUGAUAUGCAAUAUAUUGAUGGCCGCAAUUUCCACGUCAGAUAUCCUGAGGCCUAUGUUGCCAAGGGUAAGAUUGAACAACAAGACUUUGACUCAGUGUAUCUGUCACCGCACCAGGAAAGAGGUACUUCUCAAAAUUGUACGUCCAAUAACAAGGAAGAUGAAGCGGAAGUCCAUGCAAGUUGUUUGGAGAAACAUGAGUUGAAUGAUGCGAUAGGAGUCAUGAAGCUUAUUGGAUGUUACUCUCAUCUAAAGCGAAUUUCAUCAGUAAUGUUGACAAGAAAACCCCAAUCGAUCUUUAUUUGUGUGUCAUGUGGUCUUCUGGAAGAAAGAGCGAGGGAUUUGUUUCUCUACGAGCUAUCUACUAAAGAACCUUGUUUAGGGACUCCCUAUAUGGUUGGUCAUACAUCAAUGAGCUUGCCUAUCUUGAAGGAUGAAUUUGGUCGUGAAAUUGCAGUUGAUAAAUCUGGAUUGCAGUUUACACCAGAUGCCAGAGGUCUGGUUUUGGCAGAUUCCAUUAGGAUACCAUAUUGCAGGGAGAAGAAUCUACAUUGUCUGUGUCGGCAAUGUGAAUCUUGCUGUUUUGAGGAGAAUGCUGUAAAGAUUGUACAAGUCAAUCUUGGCUACGUCUCCCUUGUGGUGAAGCUAAAAUCUAUGUUUCCUAUUCAUUGUGUAUUAGUUUGUGAACCUGAGCAUUUGAUUGCUGUGGAUGAGAGUGGAAGAAUCUACAUUUGGAUUAUGAAUUCAACCUGGAGUGUACAAACAGAGGAAUAUGUUAUACCAAGCUAUGACUACCUAUCUUCUCGCGUUGUAGAGUUGAAGAGAAUUCCUAAAUCGACUUCUAUGGUGAUUGGGCAUAAUGGUUAUGGAGAAUUUAGUUUGUGGAACAUAAUCAAGCGCACUGUUAUAUCACGAUUUUCAGCUCCCGCAAGUUCAGUUUUUGAUUUCCUACCAGUAAGUUUGUUUAGUUGGCUAAGUAAAGGCCUAUCACAUGACUUCAUGGAGGAAUGUACAAGGAAACUUGAGGAAGCUACUUUGUCAUGGUUCUCAAGGAUCAGUGAAGCUAACAACUUUUGCCCAAUAGAAGGGGAGGAUGUUGCUGUUUGGCUUCUUAUCUUUACUUCAUCAGAUUCUCAUGCUCAAUCUGCUUGUUACUCGAGCAAUUACCUGAACUCGGAUGGAUGUUGGAGACUUGGUUUGUUGAUUAAAGGAAAAGUGAUCUUGGGAGGUACCCUUUAUUCAAGCACUACGGCAAUCGGUACAUCAUCUGGCACUGGAAUUAUUGGUACCCGUGAAGGACAAGUGUAUGCUUGGGAGCUGGCCUCAGGAAGCAAACUUGAAGCCUCACAAGACCUGGAAGGGUGAUAACAUGCUCAUGAUUGCGUAAGGGAGGUAAACCAGAAGGCAUGUGGAAUACUUGUUCAUAUGUCAACAGUAUUGGUAACAACUCUUCUGGGCAAUCUGGGCACGUUAUGUCCUGCUCUUGCAGCGCCGAAGCUUGCUCCAUUUGAUUUAACUCCACCAGAAUUCCUCCUUUCUCCUUCCUGAUGGUUCGUAGCAUCGCCUUAAGAGAGAUGCGAGCUCUGCUUAAUGACGGGUCCCCCUUCAAGGUGACCGUAUCAAUGCCGUGCUUGAAAGAGAUGGUUUGAGUCUUCCAAUUUGUGGUCAUCGUUCCCAAUUUUUCCAACCACUAAAUUCUGAGAAUGAGAUCGGAGUUCCCUAAAGGCAAUGGGGUCUCACAUAUUGCUACUGAUGAUUUAACUUCUUCUGCUGUGGCUAUAGCCGGGGAUGGCGGUCAGCUGUGCAUUUAUCUCCAUACUUGAGAUCUGGUAAAGUGCAACAUCUACAAUCUCUGACAGCAGUUUUCUACAUUCUACAAAUGUGUUCAUUUUGCAAUAUGAGUAUAUAUCUGUACAGUCAGUUCUUCUGUCCUGACUGAUGGUGCACAACAACCCAGUGAUGGCUGUCCAUGGUCAGAGGUUUACCUAACAUUGCUGCUUGAUUUCAACUGCCAACCAGGACUGCAUCAAUUUCAAACACUGCUGGGUUUUUUGCAGCCUAAGAAAGAAGGGACAGAGACUCCAUACAAAUAGGCAAUAGCUAGCCAGCUUAAAUUGGUACUUUUCUGAAGCAAAAGACGGAGACGUGUCAAACAAAUUUUGAUUCCAGUGUCAGUUUUUCGAUGUAAAGCGCAAGAUACCAAGUUUCAAUGAAUCCAAUACAUUUUUGUUGUGCUAAAAGCAGAUAAUUCACAAUUAUAGUAUCCUGUGCUUUAGAUGCAGGGUAACAUAUUAUGAUGUAAAUUCUUCUAUCUUAAGAAUUCUUCCUUUGUAAA